UGGGGAAUUUUCCGCAAUGGGCGCAAGCCUGACGGAGCAACGCCGCGUGAGGGAUGAAGGCCUCUGGGCUGUAAACCUCUUUUCUCAAGGAAGAAGACAUGACGGUACUUGAGGAAUAAGCCACGGCUAAUUCCGUGCCAGCAGCCGCGGUAAUACGGGAGUGGCAAGCGUUAUCCGGAAUUAUUGGGCGUAAAGCGUCCGCAGGCGGUCCUACAAGUCUGCCGUUAAAAAGUGGAGCUCAACUCCAUCACGGCGGUGGAAACUGUAGGACUGGAGUGUGGUAGGGGCAGAGGGAAUUCCCGGUGUAGCGGUGAAAUGCGUAGAUAUCGGGAAGAACACCAGUGGCGAAAGCGCUCUGCUGGGCCAUAACUGACGCUCAUGGACGAAAGCCAGGGGAGCGAAAGGG
rnacentral:rRNA from 1 species